rnacentral:tRNA from 1 species
GAGGGUAUAGCUCAGUGGAAGAGUGCAUGCCUAGCAUGCACGAGGUCCUGGGCUCAAUCCCCAGUACCUCCA